rnacentral:rRNA from 1 species
UGGGUUAAGUCCCGCAACGAGCGCAACCCUUGUUCCUAGUUGCCAGCAUUGAGUUGGGCACUCUAGGGAGACUGCCGGUGACAAACCGGAGGAAGGUGAGGAUGACGUCAAGUCAGCAUGCCCCUUACGCUCUGGGCUACACACGUGCUACAAUGGCGCGGACAGAGGGCAGCGAACGCGCGAGCGGGAGCCAAUCCCAAAAACCGCGUCUCAGUUCAGAUCGCAGGCUGCAACUCGCCUGCGUGAAGGCGGAAUCGCUAGUAAUCGCAGAUCAGCAUGCUGCGGUGAAUACGUUCCCGGGCCUUGUACACACCGCCCGUCACACCAUGGGAGCUGGCCAUGCCCGAAGUCGGAGCACCCGCCGAAGGCAGGGCUGGUGACUGGGGUGAAGUCGUAACAAGGUAGCCGUACCGGAAGGUGCGGCUGGAUCACCUCCUUU